GAGCGCGUGUAGCAAUACACGAGCGGCAGACGGGAGAGUAACACGUGGGAACGUACCCUUCGGUUCGGAAUAACCCCAGGGAAACUUGGACUAAUACCGGAUACGUCCGAAAGGAGAAAGAUUCAUCGCCGAAGGAUCGGCCCGCGGCUGAUUAGCUAGUUGGUGAGGUAACGGCUCACCAAGGCGACGAUCGGUAGCUGGUCUGAGAGGAUGAUCAGCCUCACUGGGACUGAGACACGGCCCAGACUCCUACGGGAGGCAGCAGUGGGGAAUAUUGGACAAUGGGCGCAAGCCUGAUCCAGCCAUGCCGCGUGGGUGAUGAAGGCCCUAGGGUUGUAAAGCCCUUUCGGCGGGGAAGAUAAUGACGGUACCCGCAGAAGAAGCCCCGGCUAACUUCGUG
rnacentral:rRNA from 1 species